rnacentral:other from 1 species
GUCCGCGAGCAAAAUCAACUAAAACAAGGAUUGAAAC